rnacentral:rRNA from 1 species
GAUGAACGCUGGCGGCGUGCCUAAUACAUGCAAGUCGAGCGAACAGACGAGGAGCUUGCUCCCCUGACGUUAGCGGCGGACGGGCGAGUAACACGUGGAUAACCUACCUAUAAGACUGGGAUAACUUCGGGAAACCGGAGCUAAUACCGGAUAAUAUAUUGUACCGCAUGGUUCAAUAGUGAAAGACGGUUUUGCUGUCACUUAUAGAUGGAUCCGCGCCGCAUUAGCUAGUUGGUAAGGUAACGGCUUACCAAGGCAACGAUGCGUAGCCGACCUGAGAGGGUGAUCGGCCACACUGGAACUGAGACACGGUCCAGACUCCUACGGGAGGCAGCAGUAGGGAAUCUUCGGCAAUGGGCGAAAGCCUGACGGAGCAACGCCGCGUGAGUGAUGAAGGUCUUCGGAUCGUAAAACUCUGUUAUUAGGGAAGAAAAAAUGUGUAAGUAACUAUGCACGUCUUGACGGUACCUAAUCAGAAAGCCACGGCUAACUACGUG